AGUGACUUACAUCAAAAUGCAAAUUUGAAGAAGAGCCCAUAAAGGGCUCCGGGGCUU
rnacentral:tRNA from 1 species